AUUACAACAAGGCACAGCAGUUAGAAUCUUGAGUUCUGGGUGUGUUUGGCUUUCUCUUUUACAGGCGGUCCUGGGGUCCUUCCUUGCAGACACCUGAGGGAAGGAUGGCAGAGACUCAGGGAAGCUGAUGGCUGAGAAUGUGCCCUCUUUUCCUAGGGAGAACAACCCCUGACGUGCGGAGCUGGCUCUGAGAGGAAACGGGCCUGAGAAGGAGGAAACGGGAAAGGAAGCUACACCCUGGCUGCGACAGAGGCCCCGUGACGGACAGCAGUGCGGGGCGGGAGGCAGAUAAACACUCUUGUGCGGCCAGCCUGCCUGGGCCCCAGCAAACGGCACAGCUUGGUGAGAAACGUUACCAGGGGCCAGCAAUUUCCUCUCUGUCCCAGCCCUCCCCACAUAUGGCUAAUGAUGCCACUUCUAAAAACACGACGACGUAUGAGGCAGGAAGAUAGUUGCAAGCUGAGGCCAAUCUGAGCUACAAAGUGAGUUCAGGGCCAGCCUGAACUGCAUAGUGAGACCCUGUCUCUAAAUAAAUAAAUAAAAACAUGAUGAAGACUUACUUUCA